UUUUUUUUUUUUGUCUUUUUGCCAUUUCUUGGGCUGCUCCCGGCAUAUGGAGGUUCCCAGAAGAGACAAUUAAUUAAUUAAUUAAUUAAUUAAAUAAGAAAAGAUUUUUAAAGGCAUAUGAGAAAGUAUAUUUCACUUCUCAUUCAAUACAACACAGUCCAUUGAGAGGAACUGGUCACCUCAGGGAAUGAAGCUUUAUUUAGCACAAACAGGAGAGGUUUUCAAUUAGUAUGUCUAUUCUUUAAUAAUUUCAUCAUUCUUCCGAGAUUAUAAAAGCAGUACAUCCUAGGUAAAAAAAAUUGAGAAAAAAGAUCACCCACAAUAUUAUUACCUAGAGAUAAUAAGCUCUUAUUAGUAUUUGGCAUACAUACUUUCUUUUAAGAUUUCUAUAUACAGAGCUUUUGUCCAUAUUAAAGAAAAUUAGGGAGCUCCCAUUGUGGCUCAGUGGGUUAUGAACCCGACUAGCAUACAUGAGGAUGCAGGUUUGAUUCCUGGCCUUGCUCAGUGGGUUAAGGAUCUGGCAUUGCUGUGAGCUGUGCUGUAGGUCGAAUAUGAGGCUCAGAUCCUGCAUUGCUGUGGCUAGUGGCGUAGGCUGGCAGCUGCAGGUCUGAUUCAACACCCUAGCCUGGGAACUUCCAUAUGCCAAAGGUGUGUCCCUGAAAAGCAAAAAAAAAAAAAAUCAUACAUUAAGCAUAUUCUCAUCCCAUUCUGUUUUUCUAAAUAUCAUUCCAUAUCAAUAAAUAUUGGCCUCUACCAUCCUGUUUAAAGAUUGCACAGUAUUUCACUAUAUGGAUAGGCCCUAAUGACUUAAUCAAUCCUUUAUUAAUAGGGGUUUAGGUUACUUUCCAUGUUUUGCUGUUGCAAAAAACAGGGCAAUGAGCAAUCUGGUACAUAUGACUGUUUCUUUAAGAUAAAUUCCUAGACGAUAGCUUGUCAUUUUAUAACUCUGGAUCCAUAUUGCCCCAAGUGUCACCCAUAAAAUACAUACCAAAUUUACCUUUUUCAAAAGAAGGAAACCCUUAAAUUUAAGAGUAAUAGCAUAUUUUACAUUUCUAAUAUUUAGAUUAAGCAACCAAAAACUUUAAAAAUUCAAUUUAUCUCUAAAAAUCUAAAAUAUCAAUUCAUGCCUCUGAUAUUGCAUUAGAAUUACAUUUGGAGGGGGGGAAUUCUAAAAUACCUAAUAAACCGGUUUUGUUUUCAGCAUUUAUUAAUUUGAAAACUUAAACUCUGAAAAGAAUAUACUUGCUAUAAAACAAGCAAAUUAGUAGGGAAAACUAAAAGGCAAGGAGAGAGGCAAAAAAUACACUAAUCAGUUAUAGCAGCCACCAGGUCACCAAAUCUGAAUCCUAUACAAGGGCUGAGAAAGAAGCAUCAAGAAAAAGAGAAAAGGUGACAACUAAAAGAAACAGCUUUCAGAGACUCAGUGAUGGCUGGAUUAAAUUACACACAGACAUAUACAUCUACAUGCUCUGUAUAGAACCAAUCCUGAAGCUAAUCUCUAGGGGUUAGAACACAAGAGGAACCUUUGUGUGCUUUAUUUAACCAAACAUCAUGUACAAGGGGAUGGGGGAGGCCAGAUACAGGGAAGAGUGUCUAGGUAGCAGCUUGAGGGCCUAGUAUCAACUACUUCCCCUCCUGGGCACCAGGAGGGUAACAGGAACUUGAGGCAUAAAGCAGCUCCAAAGGCACUUAUUCCCUUCAAAACCAACACAAAUGACAAGGCUCAAUCAUCAAGUUCUUUGGCAAACUGGGCAAGGUGAGACUAUUUUUACCAACAAAUAAUUUACUGGAGAGCACCAUGUUUGUGCCUAGGAGGGGAAGGCCACAUAUUAUAACUAAUCUACUGGAGUUUCAUCCUAAUGGGGAAGGCAGGGACAUUAGAUAAAGCAACCAUAACAAAAGCACUGAACAUUUAAGAUGGAAAAUGGCAGUGUGUAUAGGGGUAAGAGGAGGUACUGUUGCUUGCUAACACCACACACCUAUAGGACUUGGGGUCUAACAUUCUUCUAGGCAAGGGCUCAGUAAACUAUGGCCCUUGAAUGGGUCAAAUCCAAUUCUGACUUAUGCUAUGAGCCAUUACCUAUAUAUAACACUUUUAAAUGGUUGAAAAAUUCUUAAAACUGUUUCCCAGCAUACAAAAAUUUCAUGAAAUUCAAACAUCAGUGUCCACAAAGUUUUACUGAACACAGCCAUGCCCACUCCUGGUCAAUGGCUACCUUCUCCAUGCACUGAGUUGGGAGGCUCUAAAUGCUUCAUGCUUGUUAGUUUGGCCCUGACAUACCCAGAAUUUAGACAUAGCCUGCUAGCCUAACAGAGAAUGCAGCCCCAUUUUUAAGAACAGCAGGCAGGUCUAAUUGGUUCUAUGGAUGCUGGGGUACUAGCCAAAUAGUAACCAGAAAAAUGUGAAAGGUUUUUUGAGUUGAAAGUAGAAUGGUCUCAGAAGGUGUGUGUUGGGGUGAGUAGGAUUAAAGGUUUCUCUCUGAAAGAAUACAUGAGCUAUCUCCUUGGACAAGAGAAUGAAACCGUCCUCAAAAUGACUACUACCUUUAGGAGCUUAGCACUGAGCAAAGCCUUUUGCCUUUAUUAUCUCAUUUAAUCUCAAACCCAGGUUCAAGUCUAAGCCUGUGUUCCUAACCACUCCCUGACUUAAAAGCACAAGACAACAAUGUUCACCAGGACUAAAAGAGAGGAAAAGACCACAGGAACAGUGGAAGGUUAUUUUAUGGCCAUGAGCAUCAGAAGUGUUCUAUUCAUCUCUCUCCUCCCUCUCCCUCUUUCUCCUUAUAGUAACAUCAUUUCCUUUAAAGAAAGUAAAAUGCAACUUAUUUCUUCCAGGAACUUGCUUGUUGAGAAAAACUGAUGCAGGUACUCAAACAUGGAGACAUUUUAAAGAUGUCACCAUCAAAGUUAUAGAUCUAACUUCUACUAAAUGCAAUCAAUGUGUAAGGGUCUCCAAAAGAAGGGGGUGAGGAAACAUUUUUUGAGGCAAUGGUUUAGAAAGCACAUAUACAGUUUAAUUUAGAUUUUUCAUUUAAAGUACAAUGAGGAGUAACAGUUAAACGAAUCUUACUCAAAGAAAGGGCUAUGAUGCUGGUAGGCAGCUGAAUCUUUCUUACUAGGAUCCAUGUUCUUUGCUUUGCCAACUAUACCACCAUUUUCCUUCAAGUUCUCCAAAAAGCCUACAAUUAUAAGAACCACUCAAUCCUAACUCAUUUUGUGAAAACCAGAUUUUUAAGAAGUUUCACUUGGUUGAUAUUUUCAUCAUACUUAUUUGCAGAUAACGUAUACCAUUAUUAUAUAACAUGUUUGUACAUAUUUACUUGGGUGUUUAUGAAUGGUUACCAACAUCUAGCUCCCAAGUUCUUCCUGUGCACCAAAUGAGGGGCUCAGAGUUUCAUACAGGGAACUUCCUGCAAGGCUCCCAACACUUCUACUAGGUAGGCUUUAUCUAGAUGAGGAACCUCAGGGUCAGGCAGGAUAAGUACAUACAGUGAAUGAGAACGAAAGAACCCAGAUUUGGACUUAAGCCUGUUUUGACUCAGAAACUGUGUUUUUCCCAUAGCAUUCUGCCAAGGCACCAACACAUUUCCUUAGACUAUCUCUCAGUCAAAUUUGCUGGAGAGCAGUAAGGGUGUGGAGUUGAAUAAACGAUUAGCUCUAAGAGUGGUUACUGGGCUCAAGCCUCUGCGUAUCCACAAUAAAUCCAUUUGAUCUAAUGUUUUUUGAUUUGUUUGGGUUUUUUCUGCUUUUUAGAGCUGCACCGAAGGCACAGAGAAGUACCCAGGCUAGAUGUCCAACAGGGGCUGCAGUUGCCAGCCUACACCACAGCCACUGCAAUGUGGAUCCGAGCUACAUCUGCAAUCUACACCACGGCUCACAGCAUUGCCAGAUUCUUACCCACUGGGUGAGGCCAGGGAUUGAACCUACGUCCUCAUGGAUACUAGUUGGGUUCAUUACUGCUGAGCAGAGAUGGGAACUC
rnacentral:lncRNA from 1 species